rnacentral:lncRNA from 1 species
CUUGGAGUAGUGGGAUUGCAAGAUUCACCCCCCAAGGUGGCCAGCCUCUUUAGAGAGAAAUGGAGAGACAAGUUCUCACCAAUUUUCUCCAAAAGAAAACCCUUAAUGAAUUUUGGCUAUAAAGUCAUAUUUAUACCUUUAUUCAUUUGAGUGGCAAACUUGUAAAUAAGUCCAAGUUCACUACCCUAAACAAUAUGGCCGGCCAUUAGGAUAUUUUGGACUAAUUGGGCCUUUGUGAAUCAUUAUUCAUUAAGUUGUCAUACAACUCAAGUUAAUGGGCUUGACGUUCGAAGCCCAUUGGGCCUUAAGGUCCAAAACUAUCCCAAGGGCUUUAACGAACUUAUU